rnacentral:lncRNA from 1 species
UGUAGCCAAGUUUGGUUAAAUUUGGCCCAGUAGUUUCAGAUAAAAAGAUUUUUAUAAAAGUUAACAAAUGUCAAGUGAUAAGAAUGCUUAUAUGAUCUUUUAGAAUGGAUGGAAAGAUGGAUCAUGGCUGUGUAAUCUCCAAUGGCAAAUUAAUUGCAUAUUCAGGACCAGAAACCUGAUAAUGUGAUAAUACUAUAAACCCAUGCUUUG